UUCAACUAUUUUCUAUAGGAAAUACAGUUUUGAGACUGCUAAAAUUUUCAUUCUAAAUUUGCUUAUUGAUUCAGAAUUGCAAGUUCUUCUUAUAGUAACAAUGAAUUAAUGCAUUUUUUUGGAUAAAAUGUUGGUUGAUGAAAUCAUAUUUGAUGUUCUACUGGAUGACACUUGCAGUUUGAGUGGGUGUGGCGGCAUCCAGCAGAAUCAAUGGCGGUAAAGCAGGAAGCUGCAAGUUUUAAAUCCUUUUCUGGAGUUGCUAAUAAAGAUUAAACUUGCAUAUACAAUGCCCUGCGUUCCAGCCUGGAAUAGUAUACAUCUCGAGUUUUGGCCUAGUUGUGGUUUGAUCCAAACCAGUAAUUGAUCUUUUUUGUUUCUGUGUUAUCAGCUUGAACAUCACUGUGAACUAUUUCUCGACAAAAUACGCACAUAACGGUGCUGUUCGUCCAUGCUUGCCAAAACACAUGGAGGCCCAAGUUUGCUCCAUGGAUGAACUUCCCUGCUAUACCAAAGGAGAUGUGAGAAUACGUUUGAGGGUGAGAAUGAGUUGGAUAAUGGAGGAGAACAUGAUGAAGAUAGCAACUCUGAAAAAGCUGCAAAUGAAACAUAUGCAGACGGUAACACUGGCGAAGCUGCUCUGGAGACAUUUGCAGAUGUGACAGUAGUUCAACAGAUCAUUCCCAGAGCAUUUCAUAUCAGCAUUUCGGAUGGUCCGAAGAACAUAAAGAUUUCAUAAUAGGGCCGGAUAAUACACGUUCGUUUAAUCAUUAUCAAUUUCUGAUGUCUAAUUCUCCAAUCUCCACGUUCCACUACACUAAUCCACAGGAAUUAGGUUGGCUUGGCUUUGAAGUCUGGAAUCUAGACGUUUUUGUUGAUAUGGCAAGUGAUCGGUAUCUAUGGAGGCAUCUGGUUUCUUCUCCGAAGUCCUCUUGAUCUUUUUCCUCAUUCCCAUCCUAAUCCUUUUCUUGUUAGCCUCAAGAUAAAUAAUCACACUUUUACCUUUAGAGGAGGUGGGUAAUUGCUGUUUUUUGUCAGUAUAUACUCUGUAAUUUCAGAUUGAUCAGCAAACACUCACGUUGUUGUCGUUGUUGCUGGUGAAAAUACAUGAACCAUAAUAUCACUGUGUAGAUUCAGGAUUUUGGUGGAAAUGCAAUAAUGUUAUGAUUCUCAAUUUG